GACGAACGCUGGCGGCGUGCUUAACACAUGCAAGUCGAGCGAGAUUUUUAAGAACUAGCUUGCUAGUUCUUAGAUUGAGAGCGGCGGACGGGUGAGUAACGCGUGGGCAAUCUGCCCUGUGGAAAGGGAUAGCCUCGGGAAACCGGGAUUAAUACCUUAUGAUGUGAGUUCUUCGCAUGAAGAACUCAUCAAAGAUUUAUCGCCACAGGAUGAACCCGCGUCCCAUUAGCUAGUUGGUGAGAUAAUAGCUCACCAAGGCGACGAUGGGUAGCCGACCUGAGAGGGUGAUCGGCCACACUGGGACUGAGACACGGCCCAGACUCCUACGGGAGGCAG
rnacentral:rRNA from 1 species